rnacentral:misc_RNA from 1 species
UGGCUCUCGCAUCGAUGAAGAACGCAGCGAAAUGCGAUAAGUAAUGUGAAUUGCAGAAUUCAGUGAAUCAUCGAAUCUUUGAACGCACCUUGCACUCCUUAGUAUUCUGAGGAGUAUGCCUGUUUGAGUGUCUGUUAAUCAUCAAUUCAUCUUUACUUUGUUGUGAAGUUGAAUUGGACUUGGAGAUUGCUGGCUCUGUAAUGAGUUGGCUUCUCUUGAAUGCGUUAGUUGAACUGAGAUUACAAUGCUAAGUGUAGUGUGAUAAUAUCUUCACUGCAUAGUUGUAGUUGAAGCUUGACUUCUAACAGUCUGUAAUGGACAAUUCUUUGACCAUUAGACCUCAAAUCAGGUAGGGCUACCCGCUGA